ensembl:lncRNA
GUGACCUGGCAUUUACCAUACCAUAAGGAAUAUACCUUGGUAUUUUUUCAGAGCCAACUUUCUGGGUUUUACUCCUUGAUUUCAACAUGUUAGGUCAAUCUUUAAUCAUAUUUUACUCUGCUUGAAACAUUCAGGAUACUUUUCACAGGUGUCUCAUUUUUUUUACUCUGCCCAAGAAAUAAAGCAUAUAAAGCUAAUACAUCUGCUCUCUUUUAGUCAAUAUGCUUUAUUAAUAUUAUAGAUGUUUCAGCUGUUACUGGGACUUCUUAUUAAAAAUAAAUGUCCAGAGACUAAUUCCUUAAAGAUUAUAAUGCAGUUGAGAUGGUUCAGUACACAUUAAAAAUAGGUAUACUAAUUUUAGGUUAGGUUUCCAACUAUUUGUAAACCAGGCUAUUUAAUUUCAAUAUCCUAAAUGCUAAUGAAACUAAGGCAAAUUGUUUGGUAUAUAUUAAAAAUGGUUGUAGUGAUAUUUUAACACUUCAAUACAACUUUGGGGGUGGUGGUAGGAAGGAAAGGUCACUAUCCCCUCCCCACAGGUGCCUACAAUGCUGCCAAUCCAAAGUAGUGAAACAAGUUUUACAGAAAAAGCAAAGAAAAGAAAAUAUUUAAGUCCAAAGAUUCUUUCCUCCAAGAAUGAAAGUUGUUUUUCUUUUCUGCACUAGCUUAUUUUCCUUAGGUUAAAUAUAAAAGCAGUAUUUUUGGUGCAGCAAAUAGUAUGGUUGCAUGUUAGAUAAUUUCAGAUGUGUUUUCAAUCAGGCUGUGUCAAAGAUUACACACAGGGAAAUAAACUAUUCAGUUUAUAUUAUUACUUGGACUUUAGAAUCUCCAGAAGACCCCCAGUUUUUUACUGCAACAUAAUCUUACCAUACAGACUGUGAACCUUUUACAGUAAUUCAAAUACAGACAUUAUAGCAAGUAAUAUUUUCCUUCUCCAUUUUGCAAUAAUCAAAUAAGGUUACUUCUAAACAAUUUCAAAAUGCCUUUAUUUUCCAUAAGUACAGAUUUUAAUCUAGAAAUGUAAAUAUCCCUGGAUCAGAAGAUUCAUUAUCUAUAUGGGGCUUAACAAAUGAUUUCCUUCUUUGACACUCAUUGUACUGUAAGAAUCAAUGGUCAGCUUCUGUGUGUGAUGGGAAGUUCUGAAUUCAGAACAGGAGAGUUACAAGAGUAGCCCUGCCUUCAGGUUAGAGUUGAAUAGUAAUGGGCAGAGUCCUGAAUUAAAGACACACUAUUGCUUCUUCGGUGAGCAGAACUAGAGCACAAGAUUCUACUAUUUGGAAUAGAUCAGUGAUGAGAAUCCUCCUGAGAUGCCUAGACUAAUGCACCUACAAGGGGACAAUGCAGAAGGAAUAAAAGGUGUCAGUUUUGGGAAAAGGUAAAGGCUGUUAGUGUUGAAAGGUCAGAUAACCCACUCCUGUUGACCAACACACAUUACUUUAAAAAAUGGUUCAUCAUUUUCACUGGUAAACAGCAGUUAGUGUAAAUUCCAUCCAUGCAAUUCAGACUUAAUAAAAAAAAAAAUCAAUUCCCAUAAAGUAGUAGGCAGAUAUAUAAUACUCUAAAUUGAUAUAACCAGAGAAUUAAAAAGCUUUAGAAGUAUUAGACAAACUUUCAUCAAUGAGAGGCAGUUAUUGCAUUUGUUAUUCAACAGAAAAGUUAAGUGAUUAGUAUCAUUGUGCUCAUUAGUCUUUGUAGGAGAAGACAACUUUUUUCCACAGUUGUUACCCAUACAUAUUAUAGGAAUAUAAGGAAGCACAACAGCAGCACAUGAUCAUAUCUAAGAGUUUAUGCAGAAAGGUGCAAGGCUUUUCUGCAUAUUUUGUCUUUGUGUUGAGGACAGUCUUUCCUCAAUGGCUCACUAAAACAAGUUAAUUUUGUUUUCACCAUUAAUUUACUCAGAAUCUAUUAGUGAACCAAAGUUCCACUGUUCUUACUGAACUAAAUUAGAUAUAUAUUGCUGUUUUGGCCUGUGAUAAUUUCAGUUACUCUUUUGAAAAGCACCUUGGUCUUUUCAUUCAACUUGCUUAUAUGCGAAAAAUUUUCAUAAUGAAGUCUGGAAAAACAAUUCCUUCUUUAUUACUGUCUUAUUGCUAGAAUGAGUCUGUAGGUUAGUUUAAUGUACUCCAGGUUGUAUUAAAACUUAAAUAUCACCCAUCAUCAACAAUUGUUAUAAGCUGGUCAACUUUUUGCUACAAUGUAAUUCAAAACAGGUAGGUAUGUAAUUGAUAAUACACAUUCAUCACUGUUAUAAAAAAAAAAAAACCCUUGUCAACAAUUUUAAAGGAAGUCAUCAUUUGCAUAUCUAGAACUUAAUUUCAAACAAAACAGCAUGAAGAAGUGCUUCAAACUCCCUGUAAGGUAUAAUAAAUCACACCAGAAUGGGACACUGUCAUAAAACAACUUAGCAACCUGGAAGAAAUGCAUUAUGCCUCUGUGAGGUUUUACAGCACAGUGGCAUAUCAUAUUGAGUACCAUCUUUUUUGUUUUUUAAGAAAAAUCAUGAAGAAUUUGCUUUUCCAUUCUAAGUUUGGGAACAAACCUUCCUUCACUUUGGGCCUCUGUAACUCAGUGUGCAAAGAGGCAAAGGCUCAUACUGCUUCCCUACAGGGUCAUCACUUUUCACCAAUAGCAAAUCCCUCUUUAUUACAGAAUUAUUAUUAUUACAGAACUCAAUUACUACCUGGGUAAGUCAAUCAAGAGGGCUUAGACAACAGCUGGGCAAAUUUUAAUGUGUUUAUUUCUACAGUUUGUUUUUAUUAAAAGUUUUGUGAAAAAAGGAUUCCUAUAAAUAGUAAAAAGCGGGGAAACAGGAGUGUUCCUUGGCCUGAAGCAAACGGUGCCAAUACAUUUGUAAACAAGGUGAAGCUGCUCAGCCUAUUAAAAGGACAAAGAUAAAACUAGUCACAGAUAGCACAACUGUUCAAGAGGUUCGGAGUGGGAAGUGUUUUGUCCCAAGUUUGGGUGUCCUAAAGUGGCUAGCAGUAUAGUUAAUUCUCAGUUCUCUAGCCCUGGUCAUCUGUGCCUCUCUUCCUGCAGAAAACCCACCCCAGAUGAAGCAAGCACUGAGGGGGGCUGUCCUAAGAACACUGCCACCAACCACACAGCUGGAACCACCAGCCCCUCAAACAUCAGAGCUCCUAAGAGAAUUUGAAACAGUCAUCAACAUUUUGCUCUACUUUUGCAGGAAAAUACUGGAAGUAAAUAGGGGCACAUAGAAUUCAACAGCUGGCUACCAGUGUUUUACAUUCAGUUGUUUGGAAGCAUACUGAUUCAGCUCUGGUUAGAAAAUGUAGAAUUACUUUAUUACUUCCUAAAGUACACUAAGACAUAAAAGUCACUUCAGGAUAAUACAGUUUCUGCAUUGAAGGUGAACCUGCAGUAAAAACAUCUGCUCAACUCUGGAUCUGGAGACUCAGUGGGGGAAGCCCUAAGUGAUCAUUUGUCACUGAGAUACACAGGUGCUUGAAUUGCUUAGUUUUUGCUGCCAGCGUAACCGAGAUAUGGUUACUGGGCAAGGGUAGGAAAGAAAAGAAAUCUUGUCCUCUACAUGCAUAGUUAGUUUGUGUAAUCCCUCAAAUCUGAAAAGAUGGACUUAAUUUUCACAAAACUUAAUUAGGCCGGACAGCUCACUUUAAAUAGUAGCUCAACUUUUUAAACCUAGUUUUUACCAAUGACUUGAACUAAAAACUAUUCAAACCACUAGGUCAUGCAAAGUCAAUAAGUUAGAACUAUAACAAUAAGCAGUAAAAGGACAUAAGGACACAAGUGGAAAACAAACCCUAUUUACCCAGAGGAGGGCGGAGAAAACCACUUUGUAUAUUUUGAACAGGAUGGGAACAGAGGAAAGAAAAUUUUCAUUAUGGCUUUAAGAUGGAAGCACUUCAGAUAAGUCCCC